rnacentral:misc_RNA from 1 species
AUGACCCCUCCAUCUCAAACAGGAGGCCUCGAGAGUAUGGCUUCUUUUCCGCUUGCUUUAUCAUUGGUCUUGACUGGGUUCUUUUUUUCUGUGAUGUCACUCCGGCAAGUUCGAUAUGAUCUUCGGCACUUAUUCUUCUCAGCUAUAUGGGCAAGCCUUACUGUUGCUAUUGCAGCAUUUGUGAGGGCGAAUGGAAGGAUUUUCUGCAAUCGGCCUCGUCUGCAUAAACCUCGGCAUUGAAUAUAGCUUCAGAAUGAUCUAGCAUAUGUGACUUUCCUGUGAAAUUCUUAGCAUGGUGCUUAUUUUUAUUUUAUCACAUUUUUUUUCUCUAUAGUUUACAUAGCUUU